CCUGUCACGUGUAGGCAGGUGCUUUUCCACCUAAAAAGCUGUGGCAGUUUCAGUUCCACGGCGGCUUCCAACUCUAACAAAUUCCCGGGGAAACUUGUCCAGCUGUUCAUAGGCCAGUCUCCCAUCUUCACCUGGAUGCAAAAUGUUAACGCAUAAUAAUGUAUUAUGUCAUUGCCCUACAACAUUUAAAAUACUGGAUUCUCUGCUGUUAGGAAGUACUGUUCAGACACUAACUUCUUCCCCUUAAAAUUCCUCUUGCUGAAGUCAACUUCAGAAAUUAAAUGGAAAAGUUAAGCAUGCUCUGAAUAUUCAAAUUAUUUUAUUUUCACAUGUAAUUUCCUGGUUUUAUCUACAGCAAAGCAGACGCAGAUGUGACUUGUAUGAUUAGAUGACAGUAUCUGUACCCUUGGCUUACUAAAUGACCUGUAGUACUUGUCAAGAUCUCAGUUGCAGCUGUGAUAUACUUGAGGGAGAUGAUGUUUAUCUACUUCUACUUUGGACAGUAUAAAGCUUACCCAAUUCUCACUUCCUAACACUUUAAAUAAGUGAGUCUAGCCACUUCUUCACUUUUACCACUGAAAACCAAGAAGCAGUCUAUUUGCUAAAUUUAACUAUUUGUGUCUCUCACAUUUGUUUUCUCUUAGGCACUGUCAUCUCUGUGUACCUCAAGAUAGAAUUGAGCCUAGUGUGCUGAGCUGGCCAUUAGGAACCAAAAUGCUCUCUCUGUUUUGUCUACAGAUCUCCCAGAGAUUUCAGAAGUGUCCCUGCGCUAGUUGUUUUAUAAAGUGAGCACUGACACGUCCAACAGCAGAGUGAAUUCCUGCUGAACUGUAGUUGGUACCUGUUUCUGCAAGUCCUGGACACUCCUCAUUCACAGUGGUGGCAAAAUUGGUAUCCAGCUGCUUCAUCAUCUUGUCUGCAGAUGUGUGAUACACUCCUGAAGGGCCAGUACACUUCAUCCAGAAAGCCAGCAAUGAUAGCUUCUUGUGGAACUCUGGAAUUGCUGGAGGAGAAGGCAAUAUGAACAAUGAAACAAAGCAAUGCUAGAAGCAUCAACUUCCAGAAGAGAAAAGAUGCAGGAUGUGAGAAAAUUUGCUCCUGAUCCAGCUCUGGGCAUUCACGUCUCUUCCUUUUAAAUACCACAAAACACUAGGAAAUACCACA